AAACCCUGAAAUAAUCGUUAAAAAAUGUGUCCCUUUCGGGAGAAAAAUCCUCCUCACCCCGACCUAGAGAACAAUGCGGCUCGCAGCGGAGGACGCCCCUGACUUUUUUCAAUGCAAGCGCCGACCGGAUGCCUGCAAAAAGAAAAAAGCUCCUCAAAUCCUCACAAUCGGCAGGCUAUGAUGUUCAUCUGCAACCACGAGGUUUACCAGUGCCUCCACUUAGUCUGGGACCUGAACCUUAAGACGUGGUGCAAAGCAUCUGUGAGUCAGAAUUUGCAUCCUGAAAUAUAAAGUGGGAAAAGCAUUAUUGGACAAAUAGCUGCUUCUGAAAUCUGAGCUGGGCUAUACAGUAGGUAUUGUAAAGACAAACACAGAGCAAACUGAAAUGUAGAAUAAUGAAAAGGAGACAGUUGAAGAAUAUAAAAGCUUUUGAAGCCAGACAGACUGAUGGAGAAAAAAAUACAAUUCUACAAAUCUGUAUCAGUGAAUGAUUAAUUAAUUUUGUUGAAUGAUCUGUUCCAGCGUUGAGUGAUAUCAGUUUCCAUUUCUUUUACACUUUUACAGAAGAUCUCAAGAGACUGAUAGUUCAAAAGACAGUUCAAUUUAGAGUUCCCAUUGGAAAUGGCUUCAGAAGGUCUUUGCCAUACAUUGGGCUUUGAUGUGUUUUAACUGUCCUGAUCUACUGUUCAGAGAUGGGAGAAUAAAUUCUGUUCAUUUUUUCCAUUGUAAAUGCUAUUUUUUCUUCACAUUAUAUUUGAGAUACUUCACAAAAAUAUUUAAAGAUUAUCAUGGAAAUAUCCAUGUAAAACUUUGUCAUUGAUUUUUAUAGUGUAGGUACAGCACAGAUUAGUUUGUACUGGUGUACAUCCAGUAUUUAAUCAUCAUAAAUAUACCAUUUCAAAGAAACACUCUAAAACAGUGGCAGGAAAUAACUUCAUACCUUUUAUCACACACCCUAAAAGCCAGUGAGCAGGUCAGAAACCUGGUUGUCAUCCUGGACACUGACCUUAACUUUGAAAAUCACAUAUCAAAUAUUACAAGAUCAUCAUUCUACCACCUGAGAAAUAUAUAUCAAAAGUAAAAAGAUUCAUAUCACAAACCGAUUCUGAGAAACUGGUGCACACAUUCAUUUUGUGCAGAUUAGAUCACUGCAAUGCUCUUUUCACUGGAUUAUCAAAACAUUCAAUAGGAAGACUUCAAGUCAUACAGAAUUCAGCCGCCAGAGUUCUUACCGGUACAAGAAAACAUCAUCACAUUACUCCAAUACUUAAAUCACUUCAUUGGCUUCCCAUUCAACACAGAAUACAUUUUAAAAUCAUCCUGUUGGUUUUUAAGGCACUACAUGGUUCAGCUCCCCAGUAUA